CCUACGGGUGGCAGCAGUGAGGAAUAUUGGUCAAUGGACGAGAGUCUGAACCAGCCAAGUAGCGUGAAGGAUGACUGCCCUAUGGGUUGUAAACUUCUUUUAUAUGGGAAUAAAACGUGUCACGUGUGGGAUUUUGUAUGUACUAUAUGAAUAAGGAUCGGCUAACUCCGUGCCAGCAGCCGCGGUAAUACGGAGGAUCCGAGCGUUAUCCGGAUUUAUUGGGUUUAAAGGGAGCGUAGGUGGAUUGUUAAGUCAGUUGUGAAAGUUUGCGGCUCAACCGUAAAAUUGCAGUUGAUACUGGCAGUCUUGAGUACAGUAGAGGUAGGCGGAAUUCGUGGUGUAGCGGUGAAAUGCUUAGAUAUCACGAAGAACUCCGAUUGCGAAGGCAGUUCACUAGACUGCAACUGACACUGAGGCUCGAAAGUGUGGGUAUCAAACAGGAUUAGAUACCCGAGUAGUC
rnacentral:rRNA from 1 species